rnacentral:other from 1 species
AUUCGAGAGCAAGAUCCACUAAAAAAAAGGAUUGAAAC